AUGAGAAGAGCAGCGUUGGAUUGGCCUCUCCGCUUCAAGAUUAUUCAGGGCGUUGCUAGAGGACUUCUUUAUCUCCAUCACGAUUCCUGUUUGAAAAUAAUACAUAGAGAUCUGAAAGUUAGCAACAUUCUCUUGGAUGAGAAAAUGAAUGCAAAAAUUUCAGAUUUUGGAUUGGCACGUAUUGUUCAAGAGACACCGGAUUUAGAAAAUACUCAGAGGGUUGUGGGAACACUGCAUGGAACUUAUGGAAUGAAGGCAACGGGACUGGCAUUGGCUGAUGAAGUACCAACUGCUUCAUAUUCCUCCUUAAAAGUAUUGAGAUGUGUGCACAUUGGGCUACUUUGUGUACAGGACAAUGCUGCGGACAGACCAACCAUGUCAGAUGUGGUUCUCAUGCUAAGUAGUAACACAGAUGGUCCACAACCUAAGGAGCCUGCAUUCACUAUCAUGUAUUCAACCAUGCCAGUGAAUUGUGAGAAGUGGAAUCUUGAAGAUCAUGGCCGUUAUUCGGAGUCUCAUCAGAAAAAUCAAUGGCCACAAGUUGCUGAUAGGGCCAAUAAAGAAAGGUGGGACGGUGAUAACGGAAACCAGAUAAAGUUCACCGCCUGCCUUGCAGCUAUUUGUUUUAUCAGUGUCUUGGCUGUCAUACUAUAUGGUUUACAUAGGUUGCGAGCUAACCAAAUCGAAUCAGGAAGCACCAAAGCAGCGACAAGGCGCCUUGGAUUGACGGAUACAGUCCAAACAUUAGGAAUUUCUUUUGAAGAAUACAUAAGAAAGCAUGAGCUAUCAGAGCUAUUAGUCUUCAACUUUGACAUCAUAUCGAUUGCGAGAAACAAUUUCAGCAUCAAAAACAAACUCGGGGAAGGAGGCUUUGGCCCCGUUUAUAAGGGUAAACUAGGACCAGGGAAGGAAAUUGCUGUAAAACGACUAUCCAGUAGCUCAGGGUAAGGCAUACAGGAGCUCAAUAGGGAGAUGUCAUUGAUCUCCAAGCUCCAACAUAAAAAUCUUGUUAGAAUCAUGGGUUUUUGUGUUAAAUAAAAUGAGAAAUUACUGAUUUAUGAGUUCAUGCCAAACAAAAGCUUGGACACUCUACUAUUCGAUCAAAGGAGAAGAGCAGUGCUCGGUUGGGCUAGGCGCUUCAAUAUUAUUCAGGGUGUGGCUAGAGGGCUUCUUUAUCUCCAUCAUGAUUCUUGUUUGAAGGUAAUACAUAGAGAUUUGAAGGUCAGCAACAUUCUCUUGGAUGAGAAAAUGAACCCCAAAAUUUCAGAUUUUGGAUCGGCACGUAUUGUUCAUGGGAGUGAUGGGACAGAUCUAGAGAAUACACAGAAAGUUGUCGGAACAUUGAAAGCAGGCUAUAUGUCUCCGGAGUAUGCCAUGGGAGGAAUAUUUUCAGAAAAAUCAGAUGUCUACAGCUUUGGGGUCUUGGUAUUGGAAAUCAUUAGCAGCAAGAAGAAUAGCAACUUCUAUUUCCAUGAACAACAGCUCGGCUUUCUAGCCUAUGCAUGGCACUUGUGGACUGAAGGCAAGGGAGUGGACUUUGUAGGUGAAGAACUGGCCAAGGCAUAUUCCUUAAGAGAAGUAAUGCGAUGCAUUCAUAUCGGGCUUCUUUGUGUACAAGAUGAUGCCGCAGAUAGGCCAAUCAUGCCGGAGGUUGUUUUCAUGCUAAGUAGCGACACAGAUGCUCCACAACCUAAACAGCCUACAUUUGCUUGGAGAAGUUCUGUCCCACAGGGGCCACAGCAGCUUCAAAACAAGAAAGCAAAAAUGGGGGAGAAAGAGUGGUACAUGUUCAGCCUGCGCGACCAGAAAUACCCGACCGGACUUCGCGCCAACCGUGCCACUAAAGCCGGGUACUGGAAAGCCACCGGGAAAGACCGAGAGAUUUACAGCUCCAAGAGUUGUUCCCUUAUUGGAAUGAAGAAGACCCUGGUUUUUUACCACGGCCGAGCUCCCAAGGGUGUCAGGAGUAACUGGGUCAUGCACGAGUACCGCCUUGAAGGUCUAUUUGCUUCCCAGGAGUGGAAUCAGUGGAUCCUUUCGAGGGUUUUCCAGAAGGCCAUGAAGAUUAAUGAACCCGAAUGCAAGGAGACCCGAAUGAUUGGGUCCGGCGGGUACUCUGCCGAGCCCAGCUCGUCUUCUUCCUCCUCGGUCUCACUGCCACCACUUUUCGACUCCUCCCCUUACUACCCAACCAAUGCUUCCCUCACCGACCGUGACAGCUGCUCCCAUGACAACCGUACCCCAAUGGAGCAUGUGUCCUGUUUCUCCACCAACUCCGGCACUUCCGACCAUCUCAUGACUUCCUUGGACCUCGCUCCGCUGCCGCAGCACCAAACUAGUUCGCUCCACGGCUUCGGCGGCCUCUCUGACUUUCCUAGCAGCCUCGGGUCUCUCGAGGAGAAUCUCCAGCUGCCCUUCUUAUUCUCGCAGGGAAUGCAGCCUCAUCAGCCCUACUACUCCAGCACCACUGGUUCCUUCGAAUUCGACCUCGGCGACUGGAGCUCGCUAGACGCGUCCACGGCGACUCUCUUCAAGUGGGACCUCAGAUUUGCUCCCCAACAAACCGCCGCGGGUUACUCGCGGGCGCUGGAAGAGAUGUUCCGGGCGUACGGAGUUAGGUCCUACGUGGCGGCCAAGAUGGCGGAUCUCGGGUUCACUGUGAGCACGCUUUUGGAGAUGAAGGAUGAAGAACUUGAUGACAUGAUGAACAGCGUGAGUCAGGUUUCUCGGGUGGAGUUACUCGUCGGGGAAAGGUACGGCAUCAAGGCUGCCGUCCGAGCCCAGAGGAGACGACGACUUGAGGAGGAGCCGCGCCACGCUCUCUCCGGCGACACCGUCGUUAUCGAUUCUCUCUCCCAAGAAGGGCUGUCGGAGGAGCCGGUGCAACUAGAGAAGGAGAUGGUGGGGAGUGGCGGAGAAGCAGCAUGUGAGGGGGUUAGGGCGGCGAAGAAGCGGAAGAGGGAGCUGAGGAGGAUUAGGAGAGGAGGUGGGCAUAGGAGUAGUAACGAGGGGGUUGAUGAUGAUGAGAAUGAAGAGAACGAAGACGGCAUCAAUGGAGGAGGAGGGGAGCAGCCGAGUAGGGCAUUAGCAAAGAGGGGUGGUGGAAGAAAGAGACAGAGGGAGCACCCCUUCAUCGUGACAGAGGCUGGGGAGGUGGUACGUGGCAAAAGUAAUGGACUGGAUUACCUCUUCCAUCUCUACAAAGAGUGCCAUCAGUUUUUGACCCAGGUCCAGAAGAUUGCCAAGAAGCGUGGUGAAAAAUGUCCCACCAAGAUGACAAACAAGGUGUUUAGGUAUGCGAAAGAAGAAGGAGCCAACCACAUCAACAAGCCCAAAAUGCGGCAUUACGUUCACUGCUACGCGCUGCAUUGCCUGGACGAGGAGCGAUCAAAUGCGUUGAGGCGAGAGUGCAAGCUGCGAGGAGACAACAUCGGGGCGUGGAUGCAGGCGUGUUACAGGUCUGUGGUGGAAAUAGCUGCACCCCGAGGCUGGGACAUUGAUGCCAUUUUCAGUGAACAUCCUCAGCUAUCUGUUUGCUUCCUUCCUUCACAUUAUCAAUCUGCUCAAGUUGAUGAGAUAACUCCUUCGCAACCGUUAGCGCAGGGGCAAACUCUAGUUUCCCCUGGCCACAAUUUUGAGUUAGGCUUCUUCAGUCCUAAUAACUCUACUAACAAGUAUGUGGGGAUAUGGCACAAGGAUAUAUCUCCGCGUAAAGUUGUAUGGGUGGCCAACAGAGAACAGCCUCUUGCAGUUGCAGACACCUCGGCGAGUUUGACAGUUAGUAGCAAUGGGAAUCUGAAGCUUGUAGAUGGGAAACACAAGUCUAUAUGGUCUACCAAUAUCACUUCUUUGGUGUCAUCAUCGAAUACUAGUUCAGUUGCUGCAGUUCUUAAAGACAAUGGAAACUUUGUUGUCAAUGAUCAUCUGGGAGCCGAGUUAUGGCAAAGCUUUGAUCAUCCUUGUGACACUGUCCUACCAAACACGGUGUUGCGUUACGAUAAGUCUGGGAAGGGGAACUUCUUGAGUUCUUGGAAAGCAGAUAAUGAUCCAUCACCAGGGAAGUUCUUGCUUGGAUUGGCACCACAGACGCCUUCACAAGUGUUCAUUUGGAUCAAUAAUGGAUCAAAUGAUUCACAUUCAAUUCCGUACUGGAGAAGUGGUCCAUGGGAUAAGUCCAGUUUCAUCGGUGUACCGGAAAUGGAUCACCGAUAUAUAAAUGGAUUCAGUGUAGAUGAUAACUUAAAGCAGGGCACACAGGAUUUCUCUUAUAGUUUAUAUGACAAACCUGUGGCAUACAUAUACAUCUCUCCAGAAGGAAUAGUGAGGCUUACAUUUUCGAAGAAUGAUGGGAAGUGGUAUGUUUAUUGGCAGACACCAAAGAAUAAAUGUGACAUUUAUGGAGCUUGCGGACCUUUUGGGGUUUGCAAAGCUUCUACAUCUCCAAUCUGUAAGUGUUUGAAAGGGUUUGUACCAAAGUCAAGUGCUGAAUGGAGCAAAGGAAAUUGGACAGGAGGGUGUGUGAGGCAGACCAAAUUGUUUUGUGAGAGGCAAACAAAUAAGUCAGUCUCAUCAAGAGGAAAACAAGAUGAUGAUGGCUUCUGGAAGAUGGUGAAGUUGAAAAUACCAGAUUCUCAUGAGUUCAUUACUGCAUUCAAUGCUGAAGAAACUUCCAACGAUUGCAAACUGAGGUGCCUAAAUAAUUGUUCCUGCGUUGCUUAUGCAUUUGUGAAUAAUAUAGGGUGUCUGGUGUGGUCCAAAGAUCUCAUCGAUAUACAGCAGUUUUCGGCAUCUGUUGGAGUCGAACUUUAUAUUCGCCUAGCACACUCCGAAUUAGGUGAAGGAAAGCCAAUAAAGUUAAUUGCCAGCCUUACAGCUAUUGGUUUCGUGAGUAUCUUGGCAGCUGCAGUAUUCGGUUUUCACAGGAGGCGAGCUAACCAGAAGAGACGGAUCAAACUAAAAGCACCGAACUUUGAAUCGACUGGUAUGAUCAAGAGUUCAAGAGAUGGUCUCCGAGAAUAUAUAGGAAAGCAUGAUGAGCUAAAGAUAUAUGAUUUUGAUAGCAUACUAAUUGCCACAGACAAUUUCAGUCUCGCAAACAAACUGGGGCAAGGAGGUUUCGGCCCAGUUUAUAAGGGGAUGCUACCAGAAGGGAAGGAAAUAGCUGUGAAGAGACUAUCUAGUAGCUCAGGACAAGGUGUUGAAGAGUUCAAGAAUGAGAUGCUUUUGAUCUCCAAUCUUCAACACAAAAAUCUUGUUAGGAUCUUGGGUUGCUGCAUUAAAGAGGAUGAGAAGUUACUGAUAUACGAGUUCAUGCCAAAUAAAAGCUUGGAUACUUUUCUAUUCGAUACGAGAAAGAGAGCUGUGCUUGAUUGGGCGACACGCUUUAAUAUUAUUCAGGGUGUUGCUAGAGGGCUUCUUUAUCUCCAUCAUGAUUCCUAUGUGAAGGUCAUACAUAGGGACCUGAAAGUCAGCAACAUCCUUUUGGAUGACAAAAUGAAUCCCAAAAUUUCUGAUUUUGGAUUGGCACGCAUAAUCGAAGGAACACAAAAUCUAGAAAACACUCAAAGAGUUGUUGGAACACGGGGAUAUAUAUCUCCGGAGUAUGCCAUGGGAGGAAUGUUUUCUGAAAAAUCGGAUGUCUAUAGCUUUGGGGUUCUGAUCUUGGAGAUUAUUAGCAGCAAGAAGAAUACCAGCUUCUCUAUAUAUGACCAACAACUAGGCUUUCUAGCUUAUGCAUGGAACUUGUGGAAUGAAGACAGGGCAAUGGAGUUGGUGGAUGAAAUGUUGGGGGAUUCAUAUUCCUCAUCGGAAGUAUUGAAAUGUGUGCAUAUCGGACUUCUAUGUGUACAAGACAAUGCUGUGGAUAGGCCAACAAUGGCGGAUAUAGCUUUGAUGUUAAGUAGCGAGAAGGACGGUCCACAACCUAAGCUGCCUUUAUUCACUAUCCAAAACACAGCUUGUCAUCCUCACCAGCACUCUGAAAAUACCAAGUCCUCCAAAAAUGAAGCUAGCAUUACUAUGAUUGAAGGACGAUAAACAACAGCAAAUUGUUACAUCACAAUGCA